rnacentral:rRNA from 1 species
UACGAAGGGGGCUAGCGUUGUUCGGAAUUACUGGGCGUAAAGCGUGCGCAGGCGGUUGUGCAAGACCGAUGUGAAAUCCCCGGGCUUAACCUGGGAAUGGCAUUGGUGACUGCACGGCUAGAGUGUGUCAGAGGGGGGUAGAAUUCCACGUGUAGCAGUGAAAUGCGUAGAGAUGUGGAGGAAUACCGAUGGCGAAGGCAGCCCCCUGGGAUAACACUGACGCUCAUGCACGAAAGCGUGGGGAGCAAACAGG